rnacentral:rRNA from 1 species
UGGGGAAUUUUUCCGCAAUGGGCGAAAAGCCUGACGGAGCAAUGCCGCGUGGAGGUGGAAGGCCUACGGGUCGUCAACUUCUUUUCUCGGAGAAGAAACAAUGACGGUAUCUGAGGAAUAAGCAUCGGCUAACUCUGUGCCAC